CGGUACGUACUGGCAUCGUCGGUUUCUCCCUUCUGACGAACCAUGAUGUCAUUUAUUUGGUGUUGUGGGGAAUCAGGACUGUUACUUUGAAAAAAUUAGAGUGUUUAAAGCAGGCUCACGCUUGAAUACAUCAGCAUGGAAUAAUGAAAUAGGACGUUUGAUUCUAUUUUGUUGGUUUCUAGGAUCGACGUAAUGAUUAAUAGGGAUAGUUGGGGGCAUUAGUAUUCAAUUGUCAGAGGUGAAAUUCUUGGAUUUAUUGAAGACUAACUACUGCGAAGGCAGUUGCCAAGGAUGUUUUCAUUAAUCAAGAACGAAAGUUAGGGGAUCGAAGACGAUCAGAUACCGUCGUAGUCUUAACCAUAAACUAUGCCGACUAGGGAUCGGAUGAUGUUAAUUUUUUAAUGACUCAUUCGGCGCCUUACG
rnacentral:rRNA from 1 species